rnacentral:lncRNA from 13 species
CUGAAUUUGGGAGCAAACAGUCGAUUUUGCUAAGAUAAGUGAUAGACUCAAGACACUGAAACAUGGUUUUUCUACUUGAGUUACUCUGCUCUAACAGAAUAUCCCAUUGAGUGAAUGCUAGACGCAGGUGGCUCCUUUUAAACCUGAAUCAAUAUGUUCCAGAGGUUGUGCUAUUAACGUUUGAUAUCUGUAAAGCAGAAUACUUCAAGUGAACACUGCUUCCUUAAAUUGGGGAAAUGGUAUCUUUUGGUCUUGAAUGCCAUUUUUGUUUAACUCUGAGGAGUACCUCCUUGGUGGCUGACUGCUCACUAUCCUCAGCCCCAAUCAUUUCUCUCUCUCUCUCUCUCUCUCUCCUCUCUCUCUGUCUGUCUUUGGCAACCUGCCUUCCCUGUACCUUAGAUACCCAAGAAAUACCUUCCAGGUCUGUGUAACUUGCUACCUUUCUUGUGCGCCUCUCUCUACUUGGCAUUCCGUACCUCUUCAUCCCAGUAUUUCUCCUGUCCGCCUCAUGUCCAUGGCUCAGCCUGAGUGCAACAACAGUAAUAACAAUUCAUUAAGCCCCUGUGUAACUGAAGUCCACACAUUUUGGUAAUUGGCCCAGCAUUGCCAGUUAGGAAGUGAGCAAUUAGAAAGCUAGAAAUUAUUUGAACCCAGACUGCCCUCUUUCCAAUUUGCCACAGUGACUCCUCCAACCUCCUACUGCCUAUGCCCAUUAAUGAUGAGUAUCUCCGGGCUGCCAUCAGGGCUUCUGGGAAGCAGGCCUGAGAUGAACUCCGUCAGUUCACACAGUCACAGAAGAUUGCAUCCAGGUGUUCAUCUGACAGAGUUGCUGAGAUAUGCUGGUCUGCCUGGGACAGCUGCAUCGGGAACUUCUUUUUGCAUCGAUGCUUCUCCACCACUUCCUCCUUUGGUUCCCCCGCCCAGCAGGUGCAGACAUUUGCUAACAGAGGUUCUUUGCUGUAUGUCAUAGCAUUUUACAACCAGCUUUCUGCAGAACAGCUAAAAAAAAAGAGUUCAACCUAAACAUAGCCAAACAACUUUUACCAGAGCAGUAAAGUGAUUUCCUCACUGGGCUCUGCUCUGAGGCAGAUCUGAGGAGCUCUGUUCACUCUGGGUCCUUUUGCAAGUUUACCCUGGGCUCACCUUUGGCAAGAUUCACCCUGCAAGAGACCUGGACCACCAUGUGGGAUCUGGUCUCCAUGGACUGUCACGCUGGCUUAUUUCAGACUUGUGUCCCCAGGGGUGGGUGGGAGCUGGCUGAGGCCUCGGGCCAGCUGGGUAGCAGAGCCUCAUGCCCGGCUGGCCCUGUGCUGCCUGGUGGCCUUCUGAGCUCUGCAGCAUGGGUGGUCCUCGUGCUGGUAGAGCACAAGGCUGUGGGAGUUCAUGGCCCCCUCUGGGGGACAUGACGAAUGGCCUUGCUGACAAAACGUGGUCUGCUUUCCAUCUCUGAGCUAUGAACGGUUUCAUUUUCAAAGCAGGAAAACAAACCACGGGAACCAGACACAACACACCCAGGCCACAAACGAUACAGCCAUUUUCUCAUCUCAAAUAAGGGACCUGCAAAGGUAAAAGAAAAACGGCUUUGUUAGAAUUCUCCGAUGAAAAACAAAUACGGAAAACUCAACCGGAGGUUGUAAUGAAACUUCCUUCACCUUCCCUCCCUGGUCCUUCUGCUGACCUGGUGGAGUCCCGGUCCUCUGUGGUGGGCCAACCUACCCGAUACUGGCCUUCUUCAGGGGCUUCCCAGAGGCCACUAUGGAGGUGGGAGGGGCAGGGAGUAGGGGGGAUUCAGGCAGGCGGGGGGUACUCUCAGCCCCUCUGUACGCCACCAGCCCGAUUUCUAUCUGAUUAAUUGAAUACAGUUCCAUUAAAAUUUCUUUUGAAGGAAAGAUUCAGCAGCUAAAGAACAUUUGAAAUAUUCUAGUCUAGUCUGAUCUCACAUGCAUUCUGAUGAGUGGUUCCAGUGAAGA